rnacentral:rRNA from 1 species
GACGAACGCUGGCGGCGUGCUUAACACAUGCAAGUCGAACGGAGAGGCCCUGCUUUUGUGGGGUGCUCGAGUGGCGAACGGGUGAGUAACACGUGAGUAACCUGCCCUUGACUUUGGGAUAACUUCAGGAAACUGGGGCUAAUACCGGAUAGGAGCUCCUGCUGCAUGGUGGGGGUUGGAAAGUUUCGGCGGUUGGGGAUGGACUCGCGGCUUAUCAGCGUGUUGGUGGGGUAGUGGCUUACCAAGGCUUUGACGGGUAGCCGGCCUGAGAGGGUGACCGGCCACAUUGGGACUGAGAUACGGCCCAGACUCCUACGGGAGGCAGCAGUGGGGAAUAUUGCACAAUGGGCGGAAGCCUGAUGCAGCAACGCCGCGUGCGGGAUGACGGCCUUCGGGUUGUAACCCGCUUUCGCCUGUGACGAAGCGUGAGUGACGGUAAUGGGUAAAGAAGCACCGGCUAACUACGUG